rnacentral:rRNA from 1 species
AAAUUGAAGAGUUUGAUCAUGGCUCAGAUUGAACGCUGGCGGCAGGCCUAACACAUGCAAGUCGAACGGUAACAGGAAACAGCUUGCUGUUUCGCUGACGAGUGGCGGACGGGUGAGUAAUGUCUGGGAAACUGCCUGAUGGAGGGGGAUAACUACUGGAAACGGUAGCUAAUACCGCAUAAUGUCGCAAGACUAAAGAGGGGGACCUUCGGGCCUCUUGCCAUCGGAUGUGCCCAGAUGGGAUUAGCUAGUAGGUGGGGUAACGGCUCACCUAGGCGACGAUCCCUAGCUGGUCUGAGAGGAUGACCAGCCACACUGGAACUGAGACACGGUCCAGACUCCUACGGGAGGCAGCAGUGGGGAAUAUUGCACAAUGGGCGCAAGCCUGAUGCAGCCAUGCCGCGUGUAUGAAGAAGGCCUUCGGGUUGUAAAGUACUUUCAGCGGGGAGGAAGGGAGUAAAGUUAAUACCUUUACUCAUUGACGUUACCCGCAGAAG